UUCGAUACAUAAUUUCAGCACAAAGUUGUGUUCGAGUGAAAAAGGUGACCAGGACAAUUACACAAGUUAAUGAUAGAGAGUCUUAACAAUCAUUGUGUAGUCAUAUUUUAUUUGCAAACAAGUAAAUACAAAAAUCUUACACGUUGGCGUCUCCCAGAAUGGUGUAUUGUCUGCUAUAAUCUCUCAAGAAUUAUGCACACUAACUACUACUUCUAUUGAACAAAGAUAAGUCUCAUUGCACAUUUCCUUCAGAAAUUAAAUAUUCUGGAAUUGACUAAAAUAUUUUAAACCAUUUAUAAGUUUCAAAAAGUACCUCCACGAUGAAAGGUGUACAAAGCCCAAUUUUGCCCAACUUAUUUCCAGCAGACCCAAAACCUAACACCAACCCAAAAAACUAAACCCAGACCCAAAUGGCCCAUUACUAAAACAGACCCUAAACAAAACCAAAUUAACAGCCCAAACUAACCCACAGCCCAAAUAGCCCAAAACAUUAAUAAGAUAAAAAAAAGAAUAAGUAGGAAACCCUAACCCUAGGAGCGUCGCACCUAGGGUCGUCCACUUGCUGGCUGCCGCACGUCCCAUCACCGCUCACUUGCUCCACCUGCUCCGCCGCUCCCAUGCCACUUGCACCUGCAAAAACAAAGAAGAAAAGACAGAAAAUAAAAAAUAAUAGAAAAUUGUAGAAGGCUAUAUUAAGCCACUGAAACUAUUUUGUAAGGAGGAUUCCCUGGCAACUCUUGUAUCAAAAAACAAGGGAUUCAAUCGAAAAAUAAAAAAAGAGGCAGAUUCAAGGUCUUUUCCUUCUCAAGUUUUGAAGUUUUUAUUUAUUUAUUUUGUUCUCUUUUCUCUUCAUACGCACACAUAAAAUAAAUAUAGUAAAAAAGGAGUUAAAAAAGGUCAUACCUACGCCGUGCCGGAGGAGGAGAAGGCGAGGGGUUUUGGCCCAUUUUCGAGUCUUUGGCUCCCCCUUUUUACGAACUUCAACCCCAGAUCCGUGGCCUAGGAGCAAUAGGCUUCAAAAAGGGACUAAAAAGGCCCGAUUUUGGGCCUUCGGCCGCCACACACGGUGGCGCUACGGCAGAGACCGCCGGAACCCAUGGCCGAAUCCUGGCCGGAGAUUUGAGAGAAAAAAGGGGGUGGCUCUGUUUUUUUUUUUUUCUGAAAACUGAAAGAAAUGAAAUGUUUCAAAAAAUUUUUGUUUUAAAUAGAGGUCAGGAAACGAUGCCGUUUUGAGGCCCUUGACCCGCGCGGUGACCCGACCCGAGGGGAGGAUCCGCGUGUUUCUGAAUUUUGGGUUAUUUGCGCAAUGGGUCCCUCCGAUUUUGUGGCACUUUCAGGGAAGUUUUCUGCACUUUUGCAAUUUGCCCAUAAAGUUCUGUUUUUCUCUCAAUUUGGCCCACUGCUGCGCUGCGUUUUGAGGCGGUUGGGUUAUUUGCCCAUUUGAUCCCUUCGCUUUUGGCGCGCUUUGUAAUUUAGUCCCUUUUAUUUUGAAUUCGCCCAGUUUCUUUUUUUUAUUUCGAUUUAGCCCAUAUUUUAGCAAUUUAUAUUAUUAUUAUUAUUAUUAUUAUUAUUAUUAUUAUAUAUCAUUAUUAUUCUCAUUAUAUAUUUUCAUUUAUAUUUGCUUAUGUAAUUUUAAAUAUGUGUCUUAUUAUAUUAAUAUUAUUAUAUAUUUGCUUAUAUAUGUAUAUACAUAUAUGUAUAUGUAUUUGUUUCUAACUUAUUUAAUAUAUGCAUAAAUACUUUUUUCUUUUAUAUAUGUAUAUCUAUAUACUUUCCAUUUUUCCUCACGAAUAUACGUAUACAUAUUUAUAUGUUUUUUUAUACGGCUUCUUUUAUAUCUAUACAUAUAUAUAUUUAUCUUAUUUUAUUUUUUAUAUAUCUCACAUGCACAUUUUUUUAUAUGUAUAUAUUAUAUAUAUUUAUAUAAUAUUUAUACGCAUUUGCGCAUUUUAUGUUAUGGUUUAUUAUUUCGCAUGUUAUCGAUUUGUUCUUUUUCUUUAUUUUAUUUUAUUAUUAUUGCCCUUAUUAUUUUUAUACUUUUGUAUUCAUCAUAGUUUUGCCAUGCAUAAUAAUGUAAUUUGCUUUCACAUUUUUACUACGACUUCGUGUUUUUAUUUCACCCAAUAUAACAAAAUUUGUUUUAAAAAAUGGCACUUCGUGUUUAGAUUCGAGAAGAUCGUACCCUAACUUACUGGGUUUCGAUUUUCACAAUAAAUCUAAAUAUACGAAUCUUUUCAAACUCAAGUUUUUAAACAAUCUCGGGAAUUAAAAAAAAGAUCGUGUCCUAACUUACUGGGCAUGGUCCCUUUUCUAAACCCGAGAUAAGUAAACAUCUUUUAAAUAAGUAAAUUUUGCCAUUCAUCCGCGUAUCGGGAAUUCGAGACAUUGUGUCCUAACUCACUGGAUAUGAUGCUUUCUUUCUCGAUUAACGUGGAACGUGUCCCUUUUUCCCAAAAUUUUUAACAUUUCAAUACAAGGAUCGUAUUUUUAAAUUCUUCAAAGUUCUCAAUUUUCGACAUUAAGACAUUAAGUGAUCAACUAGGUACCAAUUUUGGGCGUAUCGAGGGUGCUAAUCCUUCCUCGUGCGUAACCAACUCCCGAACCCAUUUUUCUGAAUUUCGUGGACCAAAACCGUUGUUUUAAUAAAAUUAAAUCGUUUAUUAAAAACAACCACUUUUCAAGGUGAUCCGAUCACACCUUAUCAAAAAAGGAUUGGUGGCGACUCCCGUUUUUGUUUUCAUUUUUCAAACCCAAGUCGACUCCGUUUUUCAAUUAAAAAAAUGGUGUCAACAGCUUGGCAACUCCGCUGGGGACACCGAUAAGAGGGUCAAGCCACGUGGUGAUUAUUUUUUGUCUUUUGUCAAAAAUUGAAAAUUCGGUUUAAAAUUACGAUCCUUUCAUCGCAUUUUAUCUGUCUUUAUCAUAAUCAUCAUCAUUGGGGUUUAUAAUUGCUCUGUUUGUUUAAAUUUUGGUAUCUUUCCGCAUUGCAUUGCAUGACCGUUAGUCACACCUUUUUAGGUGGGAGUGAGAAGCUACGCCUUCGUGAGGUUUUCACCUCCGCAUGGGAUAGUGAAUCGCUUUCGGGAUAUAUCCGUACCUAUGUCUUCGUGAGAUUUUCAUCUCCGCAUGGCCAUAGGGAAAUGUAUCCCCCUGAAUCGAACUUGGUCCGUAUGAGCCUAUAAUGGGUGAGGAUCGAGGAAUUUGCUGGUUCAGGUACCCUACUUUAGAACCAAACCACAUGUAAUGAGCCAUAGGAACCGACCUAGGUAGAGCUACUCUAAAUUUUUAGUGCUUACCUAAAUGAAUGUUGUAUUUAUUUGUCGCUUAUUUUAAAUCUUAUUCUGUGUUUAAUGCUAAUUUACUUUAUUUGUGAUUGCAUGGCAUCUUCAUUCUAAAAGAGGUGUCGAUUUACGUUCAGUUUCUUGGUAGAAAGCUUAUCAUGGAAAAGGGGUUUGUUGAUAAAGUAGAGGAUAAUGCGGCUGUGCGAAUAUGGGCUGAAACGACACAACGGGAGAAAGGCGAUAGUCUUACCGAAGGGUACAUGUCAGAAUUGUGGGAUUUUACCCGUAUCAGUGUAAUCCAGAAUGACCUUCAAGAAAUGAAAGAAGUCUGGGAUCAAUGGGAUGUCGAGGCCAAGCAGCUGUUCUAUUGUAACUACGGUGACCUACCUUAUCUGCUUAGUGUCAAAGUGGACAAGUAUUUAUUCCGAGCCAUUGCUCAGUUUUGGAAUCCUGCCUACAGUUGUUUCACUUUUGGGAAGGUAGAUUUGACGCCUACUGUGGAGGAGUAUACGACCUUGCUUCGGUGCCCAAAGAUUCAAGUCGACAAGGCUUAUUCCAGAGCUGCUUGUGUCCCUCCGUUGUUAAAGAAAUUAAUGAACAUCACUUGGAUGAGCGAGCAGUGGGUCGCUGCCCGGAUCCAACAGAAGGGCGACAGUAAAUGUGUUCCUUGGAAAAGUUUGCGAGAUUUGGUGCUUGUACAUCCUGACUUAAAGAAAAGGGUCGAUGUCUUCGCUUUAGGUAUCUAUGGACUAGUGGUUUUCCCCAAAGCUUUAGGACACAUAGACGAGGCUGUAUCUGAUUUGUUUGAUCGGCUUAGUAAAGGGGUUACACCGGUUCCGGCAAUACUCGCUGAAACUUUUAGAUCCUUGAAUGCGUGUCGAAAAGCAGGGGAGGGAAGGUUUAUUAGAUGCGCGCAGCUCUUAUUGGCAUGGUUCCAUAGCCACUUCUGGAAAGUCGAAAAGGUCUCUUAUCGGGUAUUCUCCGAUAGCUACUCCCCUCUAGGAGAAUUGGUGGCCACGCCAAGACGGGAUGAUAUUUCAGAAGAAAAAUGGAUAGAGAUACUCCAGAAUCUCCAGGAUGAAGAUAUUGAAUGGAGGGCUCCUUGGUUAAUUCCUGAUGAGAUAUUGUACCGAUGUGGAGAUUUUGACUGGGUUCCGCUGCUCGGGAUAUGGGGAGCUAUCGGAUAUGCUCCUCUACUCGUAUCAAGACAGUAUAGAUCACGACAAUUCAUACCAGCAACGCAGGGGUUGGCUUAUAGUGAUUUUUCCUAUAGGGAGGACAAUUACAAGAAGAAGGUUCGAGAAAUAUCUAGUGCCUGGAACCAGACUCGUUGAAUGAAGAUCUUAGCCGUGGGUCCGACAAUUACCCCCGAGUAUGGUCAGUGGCGUGAUCAAAGGAUCAACGACAACAUCCCGGCGUCAAAUUCAGAAACUGCUCGAUCUUUAGAGGAACACUUACAAGUUUUGCCUUCUGAGAUAGAAAUCAUCAAACAAGAAUUUGAAAAAAGGAGUUUAGAAUUGGGGAAGAAAAUAGAACAACUAGAGGAAGAAAAAAUGCAGUUAGGACUGGAUGUGGACAUUCAAAGGUUAGAGGCCGAUAAAUUGAGAAAAGGAAAGAACAAAGCAGAAGAAGAUUUGGACAGCCUGAAGACAGAUUACAAGAAGUUGCGUAGGUCGGUAAGAGCUGCUGGCUUGGGUAAAACGCCAGAACAAUGGCGACAAGAAAUUCAGGAGGAAAAGAUGAAAGCUAAUCAAUGGGAAAAGAAAUUUCAGGAUACUCGGGCUCGAGAAGUCGCCUUGGGAAAGAGUCUACUAGUUUGCCAAGACGAGAAGACGGAGUUGAAGGUCCGGAUAACUGAACUAGAAAGAUCGCUUCACCAGUACUGUAAUCGUAAUGCUACGGUUGAAUUAAGGGCGAGCUUAGACAAAAUUGAAGAAUUAAAAAGACAAAUAGGAGGGCUAGAGAAUGCAUUGCAAAAUAGUGAAAUCCGGAUAGAGCUUCUGGAAGAAAGUAAUGAGCAGUGGCAAAGACAAUUCCGUCGGUCUCAAGAGCAGAUUGGAGAAAGAGAUUAUAUUAUGGGAGAGGCGGUGACUCAAGUGCGCGAAGUAGCUGAUCAUCUGCAAACUCUAGCGGUUCAGGCUGAUCUAUUAAGUUUGAAGUAUGAGUCAGAGUCGGACAGGGGCCGAGAAUUAGCUUGGCUUCUUAGAAAGGUUAAGGCUUUGAGUGUGAGGGCAAAGCCAUAUAUGUAGUCUAUUUUAUGUAAAGAAACUCUUUAUCUAGUAAAGUUUUCUAAUGAAGUUGAAUUAGAAUCAGUGCCUCUUUUUUCUUUGCAUUCUUUUCAUGCAUUGCAUCACAUCACAUGCAUUAAUGACCAUUAAAAACCUAAUCGAAUAAAAUCAUUUCAGUUAACCUGGAAAACCAACAAAGUUACGGCACCCGAGCUAAGACAAAAAUUAUGGACCAAAGGUUGGAGAAGCUAGAGCGACUUCAAAAAGAAAUGCAAGACCAGUUGCAGGCGCAAAUGAAAGAGCAAAUAGAAAAGAUUCAGCGUGACAUGGUGCAAAAGAUGGAGGAGUCCCAAAAUGAUCUGGUGGCUAAGAUGACGUAAUUAUUGAAGGGAGUAGAUAAGGGUAAAGGUCCUGUGAUUGUUAGUGAAGAAGAAAACAAUGGUGAACCACUUUAUCCUCCAGGUUUCACGCCUCCGCAUGCGUAAGUACAGACUGAGCUGCAUCCGCGGAGACCCUCUGUGUCGGUUAGGCCCCAGCAGUUCCAAGGCGAUGCUUCAAUCCCAAUGAAUUUUCAACCUGGAGCGGGCUUUAAUCCCGGUGAUAGCCCGAAUAAUAUUGCUGUCCCAGAUCUUGACGAGAUGGUUGAAAAGGACAAGGCGAAGGAGGAAUUGCCAAAACAAUUUGAGGAGAAAUGGAAAUGGAUAGAAGAGAAGUUUAGGGCAAUAGAAAGCAUCGAAAGCUAUGGAAUAGAUGCAAAGGAUCUGAGCUUGGUUCCGGACUUGGUGCUCCCUUACAAAUUUAAGAUGCCAGAAUUUGAGAAAUACAACGGGACUAGUUGCCCAGGAUCCCAUAUUACUAUGUUUUGUAGAAGAAUGACGGGGCAUAUUAAUAAUGAUCAAUUAUUAAUACAUUACUUUCAGGAAAGUCUUACGGGAGCGGCGUCAAAGUGGUACAAUCAGCUGAGCCGAGCUAAAAUUGCUACUUGGAGGGAUUUAGCACAGGCUUUCCUAAGACAAUACAAUCAUGUCUCAGAAAUGAUACCUGACAGGAUAACUCUGCAAAAUUUAGAGAAGAAAGCGAACGAAAGCUUCAGACAAUAUGCGCAGAGGUGGCGAGAGGUGGCGGUUCAGGUGCAACCACCGCUUUUGGAAAAAGAGAUGACGACGCUUUUUAUUAAUACUUUGAAAGCCCCGUUCAUCACUCACAUGUUGGGAAGCGCUUCAAAAAAUUUCUCGGAUAUAAUCAUGAAUGGUGAAAUGAUUGAGCAUGCCAUUAAAAGUGGAAAAAUAGAUGGAGGAGAAAAUAAUAGGAGGGCACCCCUGAGGAAAAGAGAAAAUGAAGUGAAUAAUGUGAAUGCUUAUGGUAGGUCAAUUACCGUGAAUCAACCAAAGAAAGUGGUUGCUAAUCAACAGGGAUCAUCAAGACAAGAGUCGGGAGCUAGGCAAACUACUGAAAAGCCCCAAUUCACGCCAAUCCCGAUGUCAUACAAUGAGUUGUAUCAGACUUUAUUCGAUGCACAUGUUGUUGCUCCUCGUUACUUGAGUCCUCUACAACCCCCGUAUCCAAAAUGGUAUGAUAUGAACGCGCAAUGUGAUUAUCAUGCGGGAAUUUCUGGGCACUCGAUAGAAAAUUGUACUGUCUUCAAGAAGGUAGUAGAAGGACUUAUCAAUUUAGGUGUCGUCAAACUUGACGACUCACCUAACGCAAAGAAUCCGUUACCUAAUCAUGCAGAUAAAGGGGUGAAUAUGGUUAGCGAAGGUACGGGAGAAGAAGUCAAGACUGACAUUGCUGAAGUAAAAACUCCAUUGAAACGGGUCUGGAAAGAAAUGGCGAAAAGAGGUUUGGUUAUUUCAGAUUCUGAGGAAGGGCAUGAGACGGGAAAUUAUUGUGAAUUUCACCAUAAAACAGGGCACGAAAUCCAAGAAUGUGAAGGAUUUAAGGCUUUGGUUCAAAGCAUGAUAGAUAACAAGGAGAUGAGGUUUUACGAAGAUGCGAAAGAAAUGAGGAGCAUAUGCGCGACAGAGUGGGGAACAAAGGCUCCAAAAAUAAAUCAUCCUGUGGUCAUUAUCUCACGCCCUAAGGGUAAUGAGGUUAGGGCUCAGGUAACACCGAAAAUUGUAAUCCAGAAACCAUCAAAUUUCUCUUAUAGGGAUAACAAAAUGGUGCCGUGGAUUUACGGGUGUAAUGUGACCAUUUUGGGAAAAGAAACAGAAAGAAAUCAGGAAAUAGGUUCUUACACGCGCAAUGGAAAAAGAUAUGACGCUCAAGUAGAGUCGUCCAGGGAAGAGAAUUGGAAGAAAGAACAGAGGAAAGGGAAAGCAGUAGAAGUUGAACCAUUGGUAAAUGAACCAAUAAAAGAAGAGGAGGCAAAGGAGUUUUUGAAGUUUUUGAAACACAGUGAAUACAGUGUUAUGGAGAAACUGCACAAACAGCCAGCCCGCAUUUCUGUAUUAGCUUUACUCUUAAACUCAGAAGUACAUCGGAAUGCACUAUUAAAGGUGCUAAACAAAACAUAUGUGGCUGACGAUAUUUCGGUAAACAAGCUGGAUCGGCUGAUCAACAAUAUUGGUACUGACAAUUUUAUCUUCUUCAGUGAUGAUGAAAUACCAUCCGGAGGAAGAGGUUCUACUAAAGCCCUGCAUGUUACUGUCCGAUGCAAAGGGUACACACUCCCGGGGGCCUUGGUUGAUAAUGGAUCUGCACUAAAUGUAUUGCCUUUGUCCACUCUUAGUCGAUUACCAAUAGACAGUUCGCACAUGAAAGCAUGCCAGAGCAUAGUAAGGGCAUUUGAUGGAACAAAAAAGGAGGUUAUGGGGAGAAUUGAGGUACCAUUAAGGAUUGACCCAGUCACUUAUGAGGUGGAUUUUUUGGUAAUGGAUAUUAAACCCUCCUACAACUGUCUAUUGGGGAGACCGUGGAUAUACUCAGCAGGGGCAGUACCUUCAUCAUUACAUCAGAAGGUGAAGUUGGUAUCGGAGGAUCGGUUGGUAACAAUAGAUGCAGAGGAGGAUAUUAUCGCAAUGAUGACUAGCGAUGCACCUUAUGUAGACAUCAACGAUGAGGCACUAGAAUGUUCUUUUCGGUCGUUAGAAUUUGUGAACGCGAUGUUUAUUGCGGAGGGAAAUAGAAUUCCAGUACCGAAAAUAUCCAGGACCACUGAGAUGGGAUUGCGAUUGAUGGUAGGAAGAGGAGCCCUACCCGGGAAAGGAUUGGGAAAAUAUCUUCAGGGAAGGAUUGAGGCACCAAUGCCAAAGGAAAAGUUUGAUAGAUUUGGUUUAGGGUACAAGCCAGACAUGAAGCAGAAGAAGAAAGAAGUAGAGAAGAGACAAGAGAGAAGAAGGGCGCGUUUGAAUGGACAUGAAGCUAAGUGUGAGCCUUUAACCUUUCCCCACAUAUCUACAUCUUUUGUGUCGGGAGGAUUUAUUCAUUCUGAAUGUGGAGUGUCCGGUAGCGGCAUGGGAGGAAUGUUGGAAAGCGUUUAUACCAACGCCAUAGAAGCGACGGAAAGGAGGGCUUUGUUGGAGAUCUGCCCUUAUGAGCCUGGAAGCGAGCUAAACAAUUGGACUGCUGAAGAAAUCCCUGUAGUCUUUAGGGCUUAUUCAGAGUAAUGCUCAAAACAUUCCUGUUGUUUGUUGGCCUAGAAACGAUAUGAAAUCUUUUGUGAAAUAGGCAUUGGGCCUAAAUAUCAUUAUUUUAAUGAAAUACGUGUCUACGUUCAUCUCGAUCAGUCACUUUUUUUUUCUUUUAUAUUUUUUAUUGGGUUGAUUGUCUUACAAAUAAUUCUUUCAUUUGUAAUUCUUUUGCACAAACAUAUUCAUAAAUUUAUAUUCUUGGUAUAUUCUUUGAUAUGCCCUCAUAGGUCUUCAGAUAUCAAUGACAUGAGUGACGCUGCCUCAAACACGGAGCCUAUUUUUGAGCAAGAAGUGUGUUCAGAGGGAUCCCACGACUUUGAAAAUGACGAAGAUUAUGAUGCAUCUCCGGACUUGUUAAGAAUGAUGGAACAAGAGGAUAAGCAUAUCCUACCUCAUAGGGAAUCGUUAGAAAUAGUGAGCCUAGAGGAUGGAAAGGAGGUGAAAAUUGGAACUGAAAUCACUGCGAAGACAAGGCAAGACCUCAUUAAUUUGCUCCGAGAGUUCAAGGAUGUUUUCGCGUGGUCGUACCAAGAUAUGCCUGGGCUAAGUACUAACAUUGUGGUGCAUCGUCUGCCCAUAAAGGAGGAUUGUAAACUCGUUCAACAGAAGCUUAGGAGAAUGAGACCUGACAUUGUGUUGAAAAUAAGAGAAGAAGUCAAAAGACAAUUCGACGCUGGUUUCUUACAAGAGGUCAAGUAUUCGGAUUGGGUAGCCAACAUCGUCCCUGUUCCCAAAAAAGAUGGAAAGGUACGAAUGUGUGUGGAUUAUAGGGAUUUAAACAAGGCUAGUCCAAAGGACAACUUUCCACUGCCUCACAUUGAUACUUUGGUAGAUAACACGGCGGGCUAUUCAUUAUUUUCUUUCAUGGACGGUUUCUCUGGAUACAAUCAAAUAAAGAUGCAUCCUGGAGACAUGAGAAAAACCACAUUCAUUAUCUUAUGGGGAACAUUCUGUUACAAGGUAAUGCCCUUCGGAUUGAAGAAUGCGGGAGCAACGUAUCAAAGAGCUAUGGUGACUUUGUUUCACGACAUGAUGCACAAGGAGAUCGAAGUCUAUGUUGACGAUAUGAUCGCGAAGUCUAGAACGAAAGAAGAGCAUGUUCAGGUCUUGAAAAGGUUAUUUUUGAGAUUAAAGAAAUUUUAGCUCAAGCUUAACCCGGCCAAAUGCACGUUUGGGGCCAGAUCAGGGAAGUUAUUAGGCUUCAUAGUUAGCAAAAAGGGGAUCGAGGUUGACCCAGACAAAGUAAAGGCAAUACGAGAUUUACCUCCCCCGCGCACUCAGAAGGAGGUUCGAGGUUUCCUAGGGAGGCUGAAUUACAUUGCUCGGUUCAUCUCACAACUGACAGAGAAAUGUGAUCCAGUAUUCCGGCUCUUAAAGAAACAUAAUCCGGGCGAAUGAGAUGAAGAGUGUCAGAGGGCUUUCGAUAAGAUAAAGCAGUACUUGGCUAAUACUCCAGUCUUAUCACCUCCAAGUCCAGAUAGGCCAUUGAUAUUGUAUCUAACAGUGUUGGAGAAUUCCAUGGGAUGCGUAUUGGGCCAACAUGAUGAGACGGGAAAGAAAGAAAGGGCAAUAUACUAUCUCAGUAAGAAAUUUACCGAUUGCGAAAUGAGGUACUCAUCAAUUGAGAAGUUGUGUUGUGCUCUAAUCUGGGCAACCCGAAGACUGAGGCAGUAUAUGUUGUAUCACACGACUUGGCUGAUUUCAAAGUUAGAUCCUUUAAAAUAUAUGAUGGAAUCGACUGCUUUGAACGGGAGAAUGGCUAGAUGGCAGAUCUUGCUCUCAGAAUUUGACAUAGUAUAUGUCAGUCAGAAGGCCAUAAAGGAAAGUGCAAUAGCCGAUUUCCUAGCUAGUAGAGCCUUGGAGGACUAUGAAUCUUUGAACUUCGAUUUUCCAAACGAGGACUUGAUGUAUGUGGCGAAUACUGAAGAAAAUCCUCAAAUGGAUCACGUAUGGAAGUUAAAUUUUGAUGGAGCUUCAAAUGCUACGGGUAAUGGAGUUGGGGCAGUUUUGGUAUCCCCAAGUGAAGAUCAUUAUCCUGUUGCUAGCAAGUUGGACUUCGAUUGUACAAAUAACAUGGCAGAAUAUGAAGCAUGUAUCAUGGGCAUUCGUGCAGCCAUUGAACGGAACAUCAAAGUACUGAGAGUAUACGGGGAUUCAGCGUUGGUGAUAUACCAACUCAAAGGGGAGUGGGAGACUAGAGAUCCUAAGCUAAUCGGUUAUAGAAAACUAGUUCUUGAAUUGGCUGAGGAGUUUGACGAUAUCACCUUCUAUUACCUCCCACGGGAGGAAAACCAAAUGGCUGAUGCAUUAGCUACUCUAGCUUCGAUGAUUCAGGUGAAUAGACUUGAGGCAAUGAGGCCUGUUCAGAUGAGUAUCUCUGAGACCCCGGCUAAUUGCUGCAAUAUUGAGGAGGAGGGAAAAGAUGAUUGUCCUUGGUAUCAGAGUAUCUUACAAUAUGUGAAGAAUCGGGAAUACCCUGAUCAAGCGACAGAGAAUGACAAAAGAACUCUGAGAAAGAUAGCCAUUGAAUAUGUCUUAGAUGGAGAAGUGUUAUAUAAAAGAAGGAAGGAUCAAGUACUGUUAAGAUGUGUGGAUGCUGUGGAAGCCAAGAAAAUUUUGGAAGAAGUCCAUGAGGGUAUUUGUGGGACGCACGCCAGUGGUUUCACGAUGGCCAGACAGAUCAUGAGAUUUGGGUACUAUUGGCCCACCAUGGAAGUAGAUUGUAUUGAUUAUGCCAGGAAGUGCCACAAAUGCCAAAUUUACGAAGACAAAAUACACGCGCCUCCUUCACCUCUUCACGUCAUGACCUCUCCUUGGCCGUUUUCCAUGUGGGGUAUGGAUGUUAUUGGGCCAAUAUCACCAAAGGCUUCUAAUGGGCAUCGCUUCAUCUUCGUAGUAAUUGAUUACUUUACCAAGUGGGUGGAGGCUGCUUCAUAUGCAAAUGUCACGAAAGCAGUAGUCAGCAAAUUCUUGAAGAAGGAGAUCAUUUGUCGAUAUGGAAUGCCUGAGAGGAUCAUAUCCGACAAUGCGAUGAACUUGAAUAAUAGCACAAUAGCUGAAGUUUGUAGCAAAUUUAAAAUUAAGCAUCAUAACUCAUCGCCGUAUCGUCCCAAAAUGAAUGGUGCAGUGGAGGCGGCCAAUAAAAACAUUAAAAGGAUUGUGGGGAAAAUGACUGAAACCUACAAGGAUUGGCAUGAGAAAUUAUCAUUUGCUCUCCUUGCCUAUCGAACAUCUGUUAGAACUUCUACUGGGGCAACGCCUUUUUCUCUGGUUUAUGGAAUGGAGGCAGUAUUACCCAUUGAAAUUGAAAUCCCUUCUCUACGGGUUUUAUCUGAGCUACAGUUGGAUGAAGCCGAUUGGAUCCAAUCUCGGUACGAUCAGUUGAACCUAAUAGAAGAAAAGAGGCUAAGAGCUAUUCACCAUGGGCAAAUGUACCAGAAACGAAUGAUGCGAGCCUAUAAUAAAAAGGUUCGCCCCCGAGAAUUUCGUGAAGGGGACUUGGUACUAAAAAAGAUUCUUCCUAUGCAAAAAGAUUUUAGAGGAAAAUGGAUGCCAAAUUGGGAAGGCCCUUAUGUUGUAAAGAAGGCCUUUUCCGGUGGAGCUUUGAUCCUAUGCGAGAUGGAUGGCAAAAGUUUACCAAAUCCUGUAAACGCAGACUCCGUCAAGAAGUACUUCACUUGAUAGAAAGGGGAACCAAAGUGAAAACCCGUAAAGGGCGCUUUGCUUCCUAAAAAAAAAAAGGGACUUUGGAGAGGCUAAGGUGAAAACCCGUAAAGGGCACUUUGAGACCAAAGAGGGCUUGAGUCGAAAACCUGAAAAGGGCGACUCAAGUAUUGGACAGGAUUGGAACAUCAGGACUUGAGCGGAUCAAAUUUUGAUCGGGGGGAUAUGAUGAUCUUCCUUUACUUGAACCAAUAAGAAAGGAUAUGCAACGUCUUGGAACAUCAACAAAGUCCUAUAGAUCUCCUAAACACAUGUCAAACUCAGGAAAGUCUUCAGAAAGUUUGUACAGAGAAGUUCAAGCUGCGAUAUCUGGGGCACCUGACAUUCAUACUAUUUAUAUAUUGAAUUUGUCAUUCUUGGAAUACUUCUUUCUUUUUCAAGAUAUAUGUUCUAAUCAAUUCCUCUUUUUAUUCUUGCUAUCAUUGAUAAUUUAUUCAUUUCGAGCUAUGCUCUCAAAUCAAUUCUAUUUUACCUAUUAUUAUGAUUUUUUUUGCAAGCAUGUUGCAUUAGAAUAAUGAUUAAUGGACUAAUAAUACUUUCACAAUGGAAGUUUUGCAUAUUACUCUAGAAGUUUCUAAAUAAUAUAGGGACCUGAAACAUGACUAUUGUUUAGAAAACACCAAGUUUAAAGGGUGAAAUAUCUAAGAAGGAAGAGUCUAAGUUAAAGACUACCCUUUCAGAUUUUGUUGUCUAAACAUUGAUUGAACAAAAUGACAAGAUGUCGUGUUGGUGGCAAAGCUUCAAUGAACCAACAAGCGAUGUUUACCAGGCAAAAAGAAAAGGUCUUCUGGGAGAAGAAAAUUUUGCAAUUGUGCAUGAGCAUUUGGUAUGACACCUUGGGGAUGAGGUAAAGGACCAAAGAGUUUCACAUUCAAUAUCAUUGAAUUGCGAUAGGAGAAGAUUGAGAAAAGCCAUACCUUUCUACCCUUGGGUUACAGUGGGAGAUUGAUGGUACAAAUUUUAUGUCCCAGUGGAUUGAACUUUGACGUUCACAGUGGGGGGCAAUCAGAUUAAGUGUUUCUUUGGAUAUGCUAGCCGAGCAAGAAGGCGGUGUAACACAUCAGUCACAAAACCUUGAUAAACUUCAAGUAAUGAUAACCUAAGCGAGAUCAUUAACGAAAAAUAAAAUUCUGCAUUCAUGCAAACACCAUCCACACAUAUCUAGUUAGGAGCAUUUGAUUCGUUCUGAUCAUGUCAUCCUAAUCAUUAGGCAUAAUUAGGUUCAUUAUACAGGUCUUAUUUCCCUGAGAUUACAGUGGAGCAGACCGAAGAAUUGCAGAUCUUAUCUCCCUGAGAUUACAGCGGAGCAGAUCAAAGAUGGUAAUCCUAUCUCUCUGAGAUUACAGUGGAGCGGAUUAAAACCAAUGAUCUUAUCUCUCUGAAGUUACAGUAGAGUAGAUCGCACCAGGUCUUAUUUCCCUGAGAUUACAGUGGAACAGACCGAAGAAUUUCAGAUCUUAUCUCCCUGAGAUUACAGCGGAGCAGAUUGAAGAUAGUAAUCCUAUCUCCUUGAGAUUACAAUGGAGUGGAUUAAAAUGAAGGAUCUUAUCUCUCUGAAGUUACAGCAGAGUAGAUCGUGUCAAAUCUUAUCUCCCUGAGAUUACAGCGGAGCAGAUUGAAGUUAGUAAUCCUAUCUCCCUGAGAUUACAGUGGAGUGGAUUAAAAUGAAUGAUCUUAUCUCUCUGAAGUUACAGCAGAGUAGAUCGCGUCAGGUCUUAUUUUCCUGAGAUUACAGUGGAACAGACCGAAGAAUUUCAGAUCUUAUCUCCCUGAGAUUACAGCGGAGCAGAUUGAAGCUAGUAAUCCUAUCUCCCUGAGAUUACAGUGGAGCGGAUUUAAAUAAAGGAUCUUAUCUCUCUGAAGUUACAGUAGAGAAGAUCGUAUCAGGUCUUAUCUCCCUGAGAUUACAGCGGAGCAGAUUGAAGCUAGUAAUCCUAUCUCCCUGAGAUUACAGUGGAGCGGAUUAAAACAAAGGAUCUUAUCUCUCUGAAGUUACAGUAGAGUAGAUCGCAUCAGGUUUUACCUCACUGUGGUUACAGUGGAGUACAUUGAAGCCAAUAAUUUUAUCUCCCUGGUUGGCAGUGGAAUAGAUUGAAGAUCGAAGAUGGCAGAUUUUACCUCUUUGUGAUUACAGUGGAGUGCAUUGAAGCCAGUAAUUCUAUCUCCCCGACGUUGCGGAGCAGGUCGAAGCGCCAAUGCCUAUACCUAUGAAGUUGCAGUUGAAGUUACAAGUCUUAUCUCUCUGACGUUACAGUAGAGCAGACUAAAACCACGAAUCUCAUCCCUCUGAAGUCACAGCAGAGUGGAUUGAAACCACAAGUCAUUUCUUUUUGAAGUUGCAGUGGAGUAGAUCGACGCAACAAUACACAGUGGACUGGAAUGAGGCUACUUGAAUAAGAGAAGUGUCUAAAAAAUGAAAACUUGACGGGACCGGGCAAAAUUGGUCUUUCUUAGUCUUUGCUAUGUUCUCGUUACACGACAAUGAGCAAAGAGGGGCAGCUGUACAAAGCCCAAUUUUGCCCAACUUAUUUCCAGCAGACCCAAAACCUAACACCAACCCAAAAAACUAAACCCAGACCCAAAUGGCCCAUUACUAAAACAGACCCUAAACAAAACCAAAUUAACAGCCCAAACUAACCCACAGCCCAAAUAGCCAAAAACAUUAAUAAGAUAAAAAAAAGAAUAAGUAGGAAACCCUAACCCUAGGAGCGUCGCACCUAGGGUCGUCCACUUGCUGGCUGCCGCACGUCCCAUCACCGCUCACUUGCUCCACCUGCUCCGCCGCUCCCAUGCCACUUGCACCUGCAAAAACAAAGAAGAAAAGACAGAAAACAAAAAAUAAUAGAAAAUUGUAGAAGGCUAUAUUAAGCCACUGAAACUAUUUUGUAAGGAGGAUUCCCUGGCAACUCUUGUAUCAAAAAAUAAGGGAUUCAAUCGAAAAAUAAAAAAAGAGGCAGAUUCAAGGUCUUUUCCUUCUCAAGUUUUGAAGUUUUUAUUUAUUUAUUUUGUUCUCUUUUCUCUUCAUACGCACACAUAAAAUAAAUAUAGUAAAAAAGGAGUUAAAAAAGGUCAUACCUACGCCGUGCCGGAGGAGGAGAAGGCGAGGGGUUUUGGCCCAUUUUCGAGUCUUUGGCUCCCCCUUUUUACGAACUUCAACCCCAGAUCCGUGGCCUAGGAGCAAUAGGCUUCAAAAAGGGACUAAAAAGGCCCGAUUUUGGGCCUUCGGCCGCCACACACGGUGGCGCUACGGCAGAGACCGCCGGAACCCAUGGCCGAAUCCUGGCCGGAGAUUUGAGAGAAAAAAGGGGGUGGCUCUGUUUUUUUUUCUGAAAACUGAAAGAAAUGAAAUGUUUCAAAAAAUUUUUGUUUUAAAUAGAGGUCACGAAACGAUGCCGUUUUGAGGCCCUUGACCCGCGCGGUGACCCGACCCGAGGGGAGGAUCCGCGUGUUUCUGACUUUUGGGUUAUUUGCGCAAUGGGUCCCUCCGAUUUUGUGGCACUUUCAGGGAAGUUUUCUGCAUUUUUGCAAUUUGCCCAUAAAGUUCUGUUUUUCUCUCAAUUUGGCCCACUGCUGCGCUGCGUUUUGAGGCGGUUGGGUUAUUUGCCCAUUUGAUCCCUUCGCUUUUGGCGCGCUUUGUAAUUUAGUCCCUUUUAUUUUGAAUUCGCCCAGUUUCUUUUUUUUUAUUUCGAUUUAGCCCAUAUUUUAGCAAUUUUAUAUUAUUAUUAUUAUUAUUAUUAUUAUUAUUAUAUAUCAUUAUUAUUCUCAUUAUAUAUUUUCAUUUAUAUUUGCUUAUGUAAUUUUAAAUAUGUGUCUUAUUAUAUUAAUAUUAUUAUAUAUUUGCUUAUAUAUGUAUAUACAUAUAUGUAUAUGUAUUUGUUUCUAACUUAUUUAAUAUAUGCAUAAAUACUUUUUUCUUUUAUAUAUGUAUAUCUAUAUACUUUCCAUUUUUCCUCACGAAUAUACGUAUACAUAUUUAUAUGUUUUUUUAUACGGCUUCUUUUAUAUCUAUACAUAUAUAUAUUUAUCUUAUUUUAUUUUUUAUAUAUCUCACAUGCACAUUUUUUUAUAUGUAUAUAUUAUAUAUAUUUAUAUAAUAUUUAUACGCAUUUGCGCAUUUUAUGUUAUGGUUUAUUAUUUCGCAUGUUAUCGAUUUGUUCUUUUUCUUUAUUUUAUUUUAUUAUUAUUGCCCUUAUUAUUUUUAUACUUUUGUAUUCAUCAUAGUUUUGCCAUGCAUAAUAAUGUAAUUUGCUUUCACAUUUUUACUACGACUUCGUGUUUUUAUUUCACCCAAUAUAACAAAAUUUGUUUUAAAAAAUGGCACUUCGUGUUUAGAUUCGAGAAGAUCGUACCCUAACUUACUGGGUUUCGAUUUUCACAAUAAAUCUAAAUAUACGAAUCUUUUCAAACUCAAGUUUUUAAACAAUCUCGGGAAUUAAAAAAAAGAUCGUGUCCUAACUUACUGGGCAUGGUCCCUUUUCUAAACCCGAGAUAAUUAAACAUCUUUUAAAUAAGUAAAUUUUGCCAUUCAUCCGCGUAUCGGGAAUUCGAGACAUUGUGUCCUAACUCACUGGAUAUGAUGCUUUCUUUCUCGAUUAACGUGGAACGUGUCCCUUUUUCCCAAAAUUUUUAACAUUUCAAUACAAGGAUCGUAUUUUUAAAUUCUUCAAAGUUCUCAAUUUUCGACAUUAAGACAUUAAGUGAUCAACUAAGUACCAAUUUUGGACGUAUCGAGGGUGCUAAUCCUUCCUCGUGCGUAACCAACUCCCGAACCCAUUUUUCUGAAUUUCGUGGACCAAAACCGUUGUUUUAAUAAAAUUAAAUCGUUUAUUAAAAACAACCACUUUUCAAGGUGAUCCGAUCACACCUUAUCAAAAAAGGAUUGGUGGCGACUCCCGUUUUUGUUUUCAUUUUUCAAACCCAAGUCGACUCCGUUUUUCAAUCAAAAAAAUGAUGUCAACAAAAGGAAUGCUCGAAUGUGGCAACAGAUCUAACACAAGCCAUUCUUGACUGCUAUAGUUAGUGACAAUGUCUAAAACAGAUCCCCCUGCCCACUGACAAACUAGUGCAUAAGCAUUAAGCUUCAACGAAAGCUCUUUGAUAC
rnacentral:lncRNA from 1 species